AUCCAGCUGACGAGUCACAAGUUGGACGAAACGUGCAUCCUGGAU
rnacentral:hammerhead_ribozyme from 1 species